UUGAUCAUGGCUCAAAUUGAACGCUGGCGGAAUGCUUUACUUUUGCAAGUCGAACGGCAGCACGGGGGCAACCCUGGUGGCGAGUGGCGAACGGGUGAGUAAUACAUCGGAACGUGCCCAGUCGUGGGGGAUAACAUAGCGAAAGUUACGCUAAUACCGCAUACGAUCUACGGAUGAAAGCGGGGGACCGUAAGGCCUCCCGCGAUUGGAGCGGCCGAUGUCAAAUUAGGUAGUUGGUGAGGUAAAGGCUCACCAAGCCUGCGAUCUGUAGCUGGUCUGAAAGGACGACCAGCCACACUGGGACUGAAACACGGCCCAAACUCCUACGGGAGGCAGCAGUGGGGAAUUUUGGACAAUGGGCGCAAGCCUGAUCCAGCCAUUCCGCGUGCAGGACGAAGGCCCUCGGGUUGUAAACUGCUUUUGUACGGAACGAAAAGCCUAGGGCUAAUACCUCUGGGUCAUGACGGUACCGUAAGAAUAAGCACCGGCUAACUACGUG
rnacentral:rRNA from 1 species